UGUUUGUUUUCAUAAUGCCUGCUAAUAAAG
rnacentral:piRNA from 1 species